AGGGGCAGCAUAAUUAUUCGCAAGAAUAAUGGUGGCGACCGGCGCACGGGUGCGAACGCGUAUGCAACCUACCUUUUACGUGGGGUAUAGCCCGGAGAAAUCCGGAUUAACUCCCCCAUAGUACUGACAAUUCGCAUGAUGAGCAGUUAAAGUUUCGGGACGGUAAAAGAGUGGGCAUGCCGUCCUAUUAGCUAGAUGGUAAGGUAACGGCUUACCAUGGCUACGAUAGGUAGGGGGCCCUGAGAGGGUGGUCCCCCACACUGGUACUGAGACACGGACAGACUCC
rnacentral:rRNA from 1 species